rnacentral:rRNA from 1 species
UACGAAGGGGGCUAGCGUUGCUCGGAAUCACUGGGCGUAAAGGGUGCGUAGGCGGGUCUUUAAGUCAGGGGUGAAAUCCUGGAGCUCAACUCCAGAACUGCCUUUGAUACUGAGGAUCUUGAGUUCGGGAGAGGUGAGUGGAACUGCGAGUGUAGAGGUGAAAUUCGUAGAUAUUCGCAAGAACACCAGUGGCGAAGGCGGCCCGCUGGGCAGUGGCUGACGCUGAGGCGCGACAGCGUGGGGGAGCAAACAGG